CUGUAUAUCACUUACUCCAAAACUCAGUGUGUUUACAGUGCCCACGGGAAUGAAAAAGCAGAAGACCUCGUAAACUAAAUAGUUUCCUAAUUAACAUAUUUAAUCUAAAACACCCCAGCAACUUAGCUUGAGGGGGAGAAAGAAGGAGGAGAAAUGUGCUAUCCUUGAGAAUGCUCUUCCUCUGCUUAUCUUGAAGGCACAGCUAUACACCUCUGGAAGGUUGCCCUAACCUACACCUCUAGCCCUCUGCAGCAGUGAGAAGAGUGUCUUGCUGUACUCUUAUCCAUUUCAGCCACAGGUCCUUCCCUUUUACACUGUGCUUUGUUGCUUUCUUUUCAGCCAUUUAAGACCAAGUGCUAUUGUCCUCUGCUGCUGCUGCCGCUGCUGCUGGAGCACGGCAAGACUUUGAAACAGUCUCCAUGACAAUCAGAGAGAUGCAGUCUGGAUCCUAAUGGGGGUGACACAUGGCUGUGACUGUAUCCUGCAGAGCAAGGUUCUUUGUAUCACAUUUGAGCCAAGAAGCAUCUGAGCGAAAAGGUAUCCUGAAUACUGAAAUACUGGAUAUUUGUGUGUGUUUUUAAUGGACCAUGUGCAAACAGCCAUACAAAGUUAGUGAAGGAGGUAGCGGUUAUCCUACAGAAGGAAAUGUAGAACAAGAUGUGCAGAUUUGGAGACGAUGUGGAACUGACAACCUGAGAAAUGCCAUCCAUAAAGGAAGGCAAUGACUCAGAAGCCAGAGGGGGUCACUGAGGGAAGAAACCCAGGCCAGAAUAGAUCCCCAGGACACAUUUGCAAAGAGAUAAAAAUAGGAGAAAUGCUUUAGUUUUCACACAAUAAAGAAAGUUGCUAGAUUUGAAGAAUAA
rnacentral:lncRNA from 1 species